rnacentral:rRNA from 1 species
GACGAACGCUGGCGGCGCGCCUAACACAUGCAAGUCGAACGAGCGAGAGAGAGCUUGCUUUCUUGAGCGAGUGGCGAACGGGUGAGUAACGCGUGAGGAACCUGCCUCAAAGAGGGGGACAACAGUUGGAAACGACUGCUAAUACCGCAUAAGCCCACGGUGCCGCAUGGCACAGAGGGAAAAGGAGCAAUCCGCUUUGAGAUGGCCUCGCGUCCGAUUAGCUAGUUGGUGAGGUAACGGCCCACCGAGGCGACGAUCGGUAGCCGGACUGAGAGGUUGAACGGCCACAUUGGGACUGAGACACGGCCCAGACUCCUACGGGAGGCAGCAGUGGGGAAUAUUGCACAAUGGGGGAAACCCUGAUGCAGCGACGCCGUGUGGAGGAAGAAGGUCUUCGGAUUGUAAACUCCUGUUGUUGGGGAAGAUAAUGACGGUACCCAACAAGGAAGUGACGGCUAACUACGUG